rnacentral:rRNA from 1 species
GAUGAACGCUGGCGGCGUGCCUAAUACAUGCCAGUCGAGCGAACAGACGAGGAGCUUGCUCCUCUGACGUUAGCGGCAGACGGGUGAGUAACACGUGGAUAACCCACCUAUAAGACUGGGAUAACUUCGGGAAACCGGAGCUAAUACCGGAUAAUAUAUUGAACCGCAUGGUUCAAUAGUGAAAGACGGUUUUGCUGUCACUUAUAGAUGGAUCCGCGCCGCAUUAGCUAGUUGGUAAGGUAACGGCUUACCAAGGCAACGAUGCGUAGCCGACCUGAGAGGGUGAUCGGCCACACGGGAACUGAGACACGGUCCAGACUCCUACGGGAGGCAGCAGUAGGGAAUCUUGCGAGAUGGGCGAAAGCCUGACGGAGCAACGCCGCGUGAGUGAUGAAGGUCUUCGGAUCGUAAAACUCUGUUAUUAGGGAAGAACAAAUGUGUAAGUAACUAUGCACGUCUUGACGGUACCUAAUCAGAAAGCCACGGCUAACUACGU